rnacentral:rRNA from 1 species
CCUACGGGUGGCAGCAGUGGGGAAUAUUGCACAAUGGGGGAAACCCUGAUGCAGCGACGCCGCGUGAGUGAAGAAGUAAUUCGUUAUGUAAAGCUCUAUCAGCAGGGAAGAAAAUGACGGUACCUGAGUAAGAAGCCCCGGCUAACUCCGUGCCAGCAGCCGCGGCAAUACGUGGGCGGCAACCGUUAUCCGGAUUUACUGGGUGUAAAGGGAGCGUAGACGGGAGUGCAAGUCUGGAGUGAAAGGCGGGGGCUCAACCCCCGAUCUGCCCGGGGAACUGUACGGCUGGAGUGCAGGAGAGGUAAGUGGAAUUCCUGGUGUAGCGGUGAAAUGCGUAGAUAUUAGGAGGAACACCAGUGGCGAAGGCGGCUUACUGGACUGUAACUGACGUUGAGGCUCGAAAGCGUGGGGAGCAAACAGGAUUAGAUACCCGAGUAGUC